rnacentral:rRNA from 1 species
AUGAACGCUGGCGGCGUGCCUCAUACAUGCAAGUCGAGCGAACAGACGAGGAGCUUGCUCCUCUGACGUUAGCGGCGGACGGGUGAGUAACACGUGGAUAACCUACCUAUAAGCCUGGGAUAACUUCGGGAAACCGGAGCUAAUACCGGAUAAUAUAUUGAACCGCAUGGUUCAAUAGUGAAAGACGGUUUUGCUGUCACUUAUAGAUGGAUCCGCGCCGCAUUAGCUAGUUGGUAAGGUAACGGCUUACCAAGGCAACGAUGCGUAGCCGACCUGAGAGGGUGAUCGGCCACACUGGAACUGAGACACGGUCCAGACUCCUACGGGAGGCAGCAGUAGGGAAUCUUCCGCAAUGGGCGAAAGCCUGACGGAGCAACGCCGCGUGAGUGAUGAAGGUCUUCGGAUCGUAAAACUCUGUUAUUAGGGAAGAACAAAUGUGUAAGUAACUAUGCACGUCUUGACGGUACCUAAUCAGAAAGCCACGGCUAACUACGUG